rnacentral:lncRNA from 1 species
GAAACCCCAAAUUUGAAAAGGGAAAGGUGGCUGGCCAUUGGGUCAUUUGUGUUCAUGCACAGCCAUAUGCCUUUGCUGUCGCUGUAUCCCGUGUUUUACAUACAAUGUAUAUUAACUUAACUGAUGCUUUUUUAGUAAACAGUCCCAACUUCAGCCCAUAUCUAGUUGCCUGUUUGUCUGUGGUGGUGCUAUGCCAGCAUAUCAUUGUAUUUGGUAGAAGUGGUUGUCAGAGCAUAUUUUGUUCACAGAUAUUUACCCUUUUCUCUUAUUUCUCUCAACCUCAACUUACUACAAGUAUAAAAACAUGAAAAUUAGUAGAUGAACUUGAGAAAUUAGUCGAUAAAGUUGGCAAUAGUUUCAUAACAUUUUUUUCUUGUAAAAGAUAUGGCUUUAACUCUGGUAUCACAGGUCCAUGUUCUUACUUCUUGCCCCCCAAGUUCUGUAAAUUAUUUAGAAAGCUACCUUUGGAAUGUUAAGAAGUUGAGUUAUGAUAUGUACACGACUUGUAUGUAUAGC